CCUACGGGUGGCAGCAGUGGGGAAUAUUGGACAAUGGGCGAAAGCCUGAUCCAGCCAUGCCGCGUGUGUGAAGAAGGCCUUCGGGUUGUAAAGCACUUUCAGUGGGGAAGAAAGCCUUGGGGCUAAUACCCUCGAGGAAGGACAUCACCCACAGAAGAAGCACCGGCUAACUCCGUGCCAGCAGCCGCGGUAAUACGGAGGGUGCGAGCGUUAAUCGGAAUUACUGGGCGUAAAGCGCGCGUAGGCGGUCUGAUAAGCCGGUUGUGAAAGCCCCGGGCUCAACCUGGGAACGGCAUCCGGAACUGUCAGGCUAGAGUGCAGGAGAGGAAGGUAGAAUUCCCGGUGUAGCGGUGAAAUGCGUAGAGAUCGGGAGGAAUACCAGUGGCGAAGGCGGCCUUCUGGACUGACACUGACGCUGAGGUGCGAAAGCGUGGGUAACAAACAGGAUUAGAUACCCCUGUAGUC
rnacentral:rRNA from 1 species